rnacentral:pre_miRNA from 1 species
AAAGUACUCCCUCCGUUUGGAAUUACUUGUCGAAGAAAUGGAUGUAUCUAGAUGUAUUUUAGUUCUAGAUACAUCCAUUUUUGAGACAAGUAAUUCCGAACGGAAGGAGUACAAA